AACAUCGCCUCUUGCACCCCAUAAGAGGUCCAGCCUGCCCAGUGAAACAUUCAACGGCCGCGGUAUCCUAACCGUGCGAAGGUAGCGUAAUCACUUGUUCUCUAAAUCAGGACUAGUAUGAACGGCAUCACGAGGGUUAUACUGUCUCCUUUUUCCAAUUAGUGAACUUAAUCUUCCCGUGAAGAAGCUGGAAUAAACCUAUAAGACGAGAAGACCCUUUGGAGCUUUAAACAACUUAGCACUUGCACCACCAUCUCAUAUUUCUGAAUAUUCUAUUUCCCGCAUGAUGACUAAAAGUUUUAGGUUGGGGUGACCGCGGAGUAAAAUUUAUCCUCCACACUGUAAGAAUCUUUUCAAUCUUAACUAAGAGGCACACCUCUAAGUAUCAAUAUACUGACACCUAUUGACCCAAUAUAUUUGAUCAACGAACCAAGUUACCCUAGGGAUAACAGCGCAAUCCAUUUCAAGAGCCCCUAUCGCCAAAUGGGUUUACGACCUCGAUGUUGGAUCAGGAUCUCCCAGUGGUGCAGCCGCUACUAAUGGUUCGUUUGUUCAACGAUUAAAAUCCU
rnacentral:rRNA from 1 species